rnacentral:rRNA from 1 species
GACGGACGCUGGCGGCGUGCUUAACACAUGCAAGUCGAACGGAAAGGCCCUGCUUUUGUGGGGUGCUCGAGUGGCGAACGGGUGAGUAACACGUGAGUAACCUGCCCUUGACUUUGGGAUAACUUCAGGAAACUGGGGCUAAUACCGGAUAGGAGCUCCUGCUGCAUGGUGGGGGUUGGAAAGUUUCGGCGGUUGGGGAUGGACUCGCGGCCUAUCAGCUUGUUGGUGGGGUAGUGGCUUACCAAGGCUUUGACGGGUAGCCGGCCUGAGAGGGUGACCGGCCACAUUGGGACUGAGAUACGGCCCAGACUCCUACGGGGGGCAGCAGUGGGGAAUAUUGCACAAUGGGCGGAAGCCUGAUGCAGCAACGCCGCGUGCGGGAUGACGGCCUUCGGGUUGUAAACCGCUUUCGCCUGUGACGAAGCGUGAGUGACGGUAAUGGGUAAAGAAGCACCGGCUAACUACGUG